GGGAGACCGCUGCUGCUGGCUCCGCGCCCCGCGUGGUCUAGGGACGCCCGCGACUGUGUAUUAUUGCGGCCGCCCUCUGCUAUGCCUGAAGACAAAAACUACUCUACAGGACUCACAGCGUGUACUGUUAAUAAAAAGACGAUGCGUCCUCCUGGAACUGAGAUCUGUGUGAUCGUGGGAAAGCGACGUAAAAAAAAGAACAAAGGAACAGUAAAUGAAAUAACUUGGCUAGAAUAUGGCAGUAACUACAAGGCACGUUCUGCUCUGGCACGAAGACAACCCACCUGAGGCACCAGACACAUGAGUGAAGCCAUCUUGGACAUCCCAGGCACAGCCAAACUCACUCCUGAGUGCAUCUGCAUGAUGAACCCAGCAAUCCCCACCAUGGAGCAAAGGAUCCAUCUAGCCAACCCAAAGAAUCAUGAAAAAUAAUAAAUUGUUUUAAAGUUCUUCAGUUUUGGGAUGGCUUGUUAUGCAAUAAUACAUAAUUGAUACACUGGUCUCCCACUUUCAAGUUUGAUUAACUUUCAGCUAUUUUUCCACA